GUGCUUGCUUUGUCAGCACGUAUACUAAAACUGGAAUAAUGUGGGGAUUAGAUGAUCACUGUGCAAGGAUGACAUGCAAAUUUGUUGAAUGGUCCAUAUUUUU
rfam:Erinaceus europaeus unplaced genomic scaffold scaffold00126, whole genome shotgun sequence